AUGCGUGGUGGAGGCAACACGGUGAGGCCAAGGAUCCAACUCUGCUAUUUAUUAUGUAGUCUGCGUCACACAACUCUGCAUUGCAUUGCCUGCAUAAUAGUACAGCUCUGCAUUGGAUCUCUGCUCUACAGAGAUUGCCCGGCUGGGGAUUGUGCGUGCUCUAUGAGUUCACAGAACUGCGCACAAACCACUGAGGGUCUUGGCACACCGGUUUCUGGCCAGCCGGAUAGGAUGCAGCAGGUUCAGCACACGGUUCAGACGCAUGGAUAUGGACUGGCAAGAAAGCACACGUAUGAUUGGGUCGUUCUUAUUCUCCUCGCCGCGUUCGUGGUCGUCUUGCAUUAUGCUCCCCCGUUUAACCGGUUCGUCGGGAAGGAUAUGAUGACUGAUAUUAGGUACCCGGUGAAACAGAGUACCGUGCCAGCAUGGGCUGUUCCUGUAAUCUCUAUGCUGUGCCCUGUGCUUGUCUUCAUAGCACUGUAUGUUGCUAGAAGAGACGUCUAUGAUCUUCACCACGCAAUACUAGGUGUUGUUUUUGCUGUGCUGAUCACUGCCGCUUUCACUGAUGUGAUAAAGAAUGCGGUAGGGAGACCUAGGCCAGACUUCUUUUGGCGGUGCUUUCCUGAUGGAAGGCAGGUAUAUGAUCAAGUGACAGGUGGUGUGAUUUGCCAUGGCGAGAAAGGUUUCUUAACCGAUGGGCGCAAGAGUUUUCCUAGUGGACACACGUCGUGGUCUUUUGCUGGACUUGGAUUUUUGUCACUAUACUUAUCUGGCAAAAUUAAGGCGUUUGAUCGCAAAGGUCACGUGGCAAAACUUUGCAUCGUGAUUCUUCCUCUUCUUCUUGCUUCGCUUGUUGGGAUUUCUAGAAUAGACAACUAUCGACACCACUGGGAGGAUGUGUUUGUCGGCGGCCUGAUUGGAUAUAUCAUGGCAGUGCUGUGCUAUCUGCACUUCUUUCCUCCUCCAUAUCACCAUCAAGGCUGGGGGCCCUAUGCAUACUUCCACAUGCUGGAGGAGCUUGAGGCGGGCAAUUCAAAUAAUGCACAAAACCAACAGUCUGCAGGUCAGCAUCAUAUCGGAUUGACCGGCCAACACCAUAACGGGAGAUCAAGAAAUGAUUUGGAAUCUGGAAGUGUGUAA
rnacentral:rRNA from 1 species